rnacentral:lncRNA from 1 species
CAUCUCCUACUAAACUUUGCUUCAUUUGAUGACUUUCCAUCUUGAGGAAGAAAAAAAAAAAGGAAAAAUCACUAGAAGACACAGCUGCAUUCUUGGUGGCACAGAGGUCUUUAUUACUAAAAGGUUAUGUCAGCACAGGGCCCUGCCCCAAGUCCGCAGAAGCCCCCACCAGACAGGUUUCCCACCCACUCAGUCACUUUCUAUGCAACAGACCACCUGAAGAAAGGCAACAGUAGCCUGAGUUCACAUGCACUCCAUUCCCCCUAUCAACCCAGUGGUUUAGCUAAAAUCUAUCCCAGUCUUUUCACCCUCUUUGGCCUUUUCUGUCUUCUCUUUCCCAAAUACGAAGCUCCUUACAAGAAGCAAAUCUCACUGUCCACUCCACCAUGGGGGACGAUGUUCCAGCACAUGUAAUAAAAUUGGACAGCUCUUGAUCAGGCACACAGGAGAGAUGCAGAGAAGUCAAUUCAAUAGGCACCAAUUUCAUAUGACUUUACAGUAUUUCAAGCAUACAACCUGCUUGUGUAUGUCAAUGUUCCGUUAUAUUUUAAUUCAAGAAUAUUUCCAGGCUCCAGGCUGCAGAGACGCUAGCUCCUCCACUGGGAUCCAGGGCCAGUUCCAAGCUCCACUGACUUAUUCCAUCCACACAGGAUAGCACUUCACUCUGUACCGGGGAUUGAAGUGAAGGGAUCAGUGUUUCUUUAUCUCUGCUCCUGAGAAGUAAGGGCAGAGGGGUGGGCAGAGCAGUCUUGUGCAACAGACCCAUGGAGUCAAAGCCAAGGCCCAGAGGGAUAAAGAUGAGAGGAUGACUUCACUUUGGAGCAGAUGCCUGCAGGCUGGGAGGGUGUACAGCCUACCCUGGCAUGUUUCUGCCAGGGGCAAAAUGAGCUCAAGCAAGCGUGGCUUCUUAACAGCAGAAUUGAAACCAAGUGAUUCCUAGUAUUUGCUUCUUGAAUUCCCUAAAACUCCUCCCCAAAAGGGAUACUUCAGAACGGUUCACAGCACUUCUACUGAACAGUUCCUGGUGUCUUUUUUUAUGACUAUCAUACAUACAAAGCAAAACAAUAAAAAUCUUUAUUUACCAUGCGUAUGAGGACUUUUUAAAGCUUUUAUCUGGACAUUCUUGUAGAGAUCCUCAGUAUAUAUUCUCCCCAAGAAAAUUUUCUUCCAGAGAAAAUGUUUUUCAGGAUUUCAGCAGCUGAAGGGGUACUGUAAGUUACAUGAAUGUUUAAAAGUCAAAGACUUCCGUGUCAUGUAAUUAAUUUACUUAUGGAACUAAGGUUGGGUGAUUUACAUAGUACAGAUGACAACUAUGAGGAAAAAAGACAAAUAAGCCAUCAAUAAAAAAACCAUCAUUGCAAACUCAUCUAGAAUGUCUCCUGAGCACCUACUCACCAACUCACAAAACAAGGUUUUGGGCCUUUAUUUCCUGGCACGGAGGUCUUUCUUGAGCGUUAAUGUGCAUUUGCAUCACCUGGUCCUCUUCUUGCCAAAAAUUCUGAGUUUCUGACCUUCAGGACCAGGACACUUGUGAGGAACACUGGUCAGUUUUGUCAAUAUCCCUCAACAUUUCGCUUUGACAAGACUGCACGUCUGGCACCAGCACCAGAAGUGAUGUGUCCUCGGCCUACAUCAUGGGGGGUUGACAUCAAAGUCUCAUUACCAGUAAUGUUAACAUUGGUAGUUGAUUGUAUGCUUCAGGUGGCACCUGCUGAGUUUUUCCACUGUAUAGUUACUAUUUUAUUUAUAAAUACCAUGGUAGUACCGUGGUAAUACUUUGGGAUUAGGUAAAUAACCACAGGUUGGAAAAGGCAUGACAAUUAAACGCAUAAGUAGCGACCUAUAUUAGAUACUGAAACAAAAAAGGGCAUGGUAGUGCACGCCUGUAAUUCCAGCAACUUGUGAGGCUGAGGCAGGAGGAUUCAGAGUUCAAAGGCAGCCUCAGCAAUUUAGCCAGGCCCUAAGCAACUCAGCAACCCUAUCUCUAAAAAAUAUACAACAAAAAGGGAUGGGGAUAUGGCUCAGGGGAUAAGAGCCUCUGGGUUUAAUCCCCAGUAUCAAAAAAAAAAAAAAAAAAAGUAGAAAACUGAAUUGAAUAAGGUCUAUAUCUUACUUAAUAGCCCCAAUAAGAUAUUGUUUCUGGUUUCUAUAUGGCUAUUUCAUUAUGUAAGAUGUCAACAUUAGGGGAGCAAGGGAAGAGAGUGGGGAAAUAGACCAAAGUAGUUUUGUUAUUUUUCUGUAAUGACUAAAAAUUACUUGAAAUUAAAAUUUUACCAAGUUUAAAUUCUGAUUCCAUAGAUCUGGUGAUUUCAUAAACUCAAACAAUGCAAUGCUGAUCCAUGCUGUGGACCAUUCUGCUAGCAAGCCUCUGGCAGACAGAGCUAAAAUCAUCUCGCACAACUGGCAUGUGGGAGACUCACUGGACUGCACGGAGGCUAUGCUCCAAGUGUAGCCAUCACUGACUGCGGGUGUGCCUCAAACUGCAGAGUGCUGAGCCCCUAGCCCAGCUCGGCCCAGUAUACCUGGUCCUGGGAGAAGCCAAGAGUCUGAAAUCACAGUGUUUGCUGCACACAUCUGACUGACCUUCCCCAGCUGAGCCUGAAGCCCCUUCCAAGUCUGCAGAGCCAGAACCAUUCUCUCAAUUUGAGACAGCUACAGGAAGUAUGGACCUGACACCUCUCCCUUCUGCUGGUGGACAUAUCACCAAGACUUCAAGGAGGUAGGAGAGUGGGGUGAAGAAAAGUUUUGAAUUCCUGCUCAAAGUGACUGACCAACCUAUUCUUUUAAAAUGAUUUCUUUACUAAUAGAGAUAAUAAACCCACAAGAAAGAGAAUGUGGAGGCAAGCAAAAGGCUUCACUAAUUUCUGACAGAGGAUCCAACCCAGGCAACACAGGGAGUGGGGCUCUAGGCCCCACAGAAGCCCAUGAGCAGGCUGAAGACCUUGGCAGAGGGGGCCAGGCCUGCUUCCUAAAGUCAGCUUCUGCUAAGGCCCCCACAAAGACAGGUGGAGCAGACCCCAAGCAAAGAGGACUUCUAGAGAGAAGAUGCACAGCCCAAAGAAAAUGUGUAAAUCUGGAAUUCCAGGUCCCACUGUACCAAGCUCCCAGAGGAAACCCACCCAUUUUCAAAACCAGCCCCAUACAGACCCAGGGUUCUGUGCCAGUUUCCCCUUGCCUUAGACAAUAAUAAUGCAAAUAUUGGAGGAGGACCUACCAUGUAAGGCAAGAAGCCAACAUUUACCAAAAAAAAAAAAAAAAAAGUGCCAUUAAACAAGAAAUUUAAACACAAGAGAACCUAAAAGAAUCCUCACUUCUCAGCGUCUAGGAAAUAACACAUUUAUAAAACAGUUGUCUAUUAUAAUAAAGAACAGGACACAUACAUUUUUAGAAAUUAGGUUUGUAGAAAAAAAUAUUUAAAACAAAGCCAAGUACCAUGGCACACUCCUAUAAUCCUAGUGACUUGGGAGGCUGAGGCAGAAGAAUCACAAGUGCCAGGCCAGCCUGGGCAACUUUGCAGGGUCCUAAGCAACUUAACAAGACCCUGCCUCAAGACAAACUAAAAGGGCUGGGAUGUAGCUCACCGGUGAAGGGCCCCUGGGUUCAACCCCCAGCAGUGGGGAAAAUUUUUUAAACAGGAUUAUAAAACAAAUCAAAGUCCUUCCUAGAAAUGAAAGGUAAAGACAAGUUUCAAGAGGUGAAUGUAAUGCUUACCACCCACUAACAGGAAUUCUUCAAAGAGGAAAGAGCCAAAUGUUAAGGGAAAGCUGUCAAGUGACUCCAGAGAAGUGCCAGAGCUUACGGACAGCAGCAGGGUCAAAGAGCACUCGAGUGGGACUCCACGCACUUGUGCACACUAUGAAUUGUCAUAAAGCCUAAGACAAGAUUCUAAGGACGCCCAGGGAGGGAAGAGGCUCCCUCUCCAAGGGGAGGAAGAAUACCUGGAAGAGGCUCCCACUGAAGCGAUGCAAGGCACGGUCAAAGCCAGCCAGGUGCAGAUAAGGGAAACUACGGGACGGCACCUGGGCAGGGCUGAGGAGUGACUGAAGCGGACAGAGGUAGAGGGCCGGGGAGGCCGCACGGAGGAGCCACUGUGUAAGGAGCCAACGGGAGCAGAAAAUGCAGGGAGAAGAGGCGGCCGCUAGGAACAGCAGCGACAGGGCCGCCCAGGAAGCGGAGCGCUGCGGCCGCAGAACAAUGCCGCCGUGCGGGCGCACUCGGGGGCCGGGCCGCCCUCCGCGCACGCCGGGCGCCGCGGACGGCCGCACCGGAAGCGAGGCGGCCCCACGCGAGGCCUCGGGCCGCGCGGUCCGGCCCCAGCGCAGGGCGGGCGGCCAGGAGACCGGGCGCGGCCCGUGGGCGGCGGGGGCGCGCGGACUCGGCCGCGGCGAACGCGGGCCCGCGAGCUCGGCGCCCCGCUCCCGGGCGCGACGGCGGACACCGCCCGGCCCCCGUCCGGCCCCGAAGAGCGGCCGUUAGCGGCCGUUGGCGCGGAGGGGCGGGGCGGGGGCGGACGGAGAUCUCGCUCUCGCUCUCGCCCCGCGGGAAGGGGGAGUGGAGGCGCGACCGGCUGCGGGAGCUGCAAUUACCGUGUGGGCUGCGGAAUUCUCGUGGUGUUUGUCGGGGAGAUGCGAUAAUGGCGUCCGUCCUCGCGAGAGAAGCCGCCGCUCAGCGCAGGCGCCGCGAGCACCUCCCCGCGCCCCGCGCCCCACCCUCCGCGCAGCCUCCCAGGGGGCUGGGGCGGGUCUGGGACCUCGGGGGCGGGGCUUGCGCUGGCAUCUUCUGCGCGCCCUGGCGCUGGAAUGUGCUUGAUGAGCAUGCGCACGCGUCCCUCUCGCCUGUAAGGGUUGACUCCCUGGAACGCCGACUUCCCGGUCUUACGCCCGGGCUGCUCGCCAGUGCGGGGGAAAUCGCUUCAGCAGGCAGUGUGAGAAAUGUGCAUCCUCUCCAGGACCAAGUGAAUAGGCUUUGGCUCUCCCGACGACUACACAUCCCAGGAUGCCCUGCGCCGCCCGCGCAAAGCGUCCCGGGACUCGUAGUCCCCGCGUACGCGCCGUGCAUGCUGGGACUUGUAGUCCCUCCGGAGUCCGGCCACCGCGUCCCGCGCCCGCGCCUAGGGCUGCUGGGACUUGUAGUCACGCGCGCUGGGCUGCGCUGUGAGCCUCGGGGUCCGCCUGAGUUUGGUGCUCGCCCACCUCCUGUGUGGCGGGCAAGUGCGCCGUGGAAUGUGAACCCGCGGUGACCGAGUGCGCGCUUGCCGGGGUCGCGCCCUCGCUCUCCUCGCGUCCCCGCCCCGCGUGCUGGCGACUGACGAGAGGCCUCGGAGCCCCUGUCGCCCGGAAAGCAGGUCCUCCGCCUGGACUCCGCCCGCGGUGCAGAAAGGGCAAAGCUGGGGCCCGAUCCAGCCGCCGCGGUUAAGCCUCCUUCCCAGAAUAGCACCCAGGCCCUGCGCCCAUCCAGGUUCAGGACGCCCUGGAAUAAUGCUGGGGCCCAGCGAUCUCCCCACUGUCCGAACCAUAGGCCUCGCAGGAGAACACCGAGCCUUGGCCACUGUUCAGGUUAAGGGCCAAGAAUAAUCCUGAGGCUCAGACACAGGCUGGUCCUGGGCGUUUAACAGCAAAAGCACCUUAAAGACCUUCCAAGGAAGGGACCAUGGGUGCUGGACAGACAGUGGUGUUUAAAAGGGACCAGGCCUCUCCAGAGGCCAGGAGGAGGGUCAAAGAAAGGAGAGAAAUUGCUCAGCAAGAUCUCCUGCUGAAAGGGGAAAGGCUGGGUCUAGAAUCCGGUGAACUAGAAUCCUGUUGCUCAGCAUCCACUUUGAAUAUAAGUUGGACUAACUCACGCAGAAGCAGGGCUCAGUUCCUCAGGCCUUGGGCCGGUUCCUGGGCCUGCAGCCUGCUUGACUGGUCCUGCUGACCCCAGCCCCCUGGACUGUGUGGGCAUGCCAUAGCUGCCCUCUCAGUCACACCUCACCUGGAGCUGCUGCUUGCUUUUCACCCUCAGGGUGAGGGGGGUUGUGUGUUACUUCAAAUUGUUGGGAGGUGCUGACUGCAGGCAUAAAGCACAGUUACACGCCCCCUCAAGUGUUUUUGUAAAACUUUGUGUCCAUGGGAAAGACUAAUAAUAACAGUCCUGCUAAGAAAGUGUUCACACUUACCACUGUUGACUGGCCUCAGGUCCCAGGUGUGAACAGGCUCCCACAUGGUGUGAACAGUCUGAUUGCCUUCUCUUUCUAAAAUUAUGCUUCAUGGUUCUUGGUAAACAAAUGCUGGCUUCCUGGUCAAUUAUCCUGUUAUCAACUAUCACCUGGAGCGGCUCUCAGCAGGGAUGACUCAUGAGGCUCCCUAGGUUCCCUGAAGACAUCUACAACCCUGCCCCACGCCUGACCUGAAGAUGCUAGUGCUGAUGUCCUGAAGGUUCAACCAAACCCCUUCCACCGGGUGAGGGGAGAGAGAUACAGAUAAGAGUAUCUCAGUCUGCUCUCCAUCCCUCCCAUCUCUGAACUCUGUUUUUUCCCAUUGCUGGGCAGAGUCUUGAGAAGGGUCCCCAGCAAUGACACACAUACUUGGCUACCUUAAUAAAUCUCCUUGGAGAGAAAAUGCCUGUUUCUCCUUAAUUUCUGCAAAAUUCCCAUUGCUCAGGUCACCUGGCAAUGCUGUCCUGAUUGGCUGAGCCUGAAGUAUGUCAGAGAAUGGGGUCAGCCCACCCCUGAGCCAUGUGGACGGGGGAAACUCAGAGGAAGUUAGCAGCGGACAGGGCCUAACUAUCGCCGGCAUCAGUAGCCUUUGUCCUCAGCUCAUGCCUGAAUGCACAGGAACACCAGUGUCCACAUUGAUGUGUCCAUUUGGUGGUCCUUUCCUCCAGCAGUUGUUGACACACCUUCCAGAAGGAGAGGCUGAAUGCUUACAGCAGCACAGGAAGCUCUUCACUCUGGGUUGCUGGCUGCCGGGUUUCCCACCUUCCCUGCUGCCCUUCAAACGUGGGACAGACUGCAGUUGAGCCAGCACCUCAGCCAGGCAAGUGACAGCUUGAAGCGCCCUAUAUCCUUCUAUUUUUUUUUCUAUUUUUGUAGCAUUGCUGCUACAAAGCAUCCCUUGGGCAUGGAUGGCAGAGGGAACAGGUGUGUGGUCUGCAAAGUCAACAGAGGUGUGCACCCAAAAUCAUGCUAUGAAAAAAUCCAGGGGAGAAGAAAUGAGCCGGCAAACCCACCAAGAAAUGUCCAUGUGUCUGGAAAAUUUUAAUCCAAUGCGGGUCUAUGCUAUUUGUUUUUAACUAGGAUGUAACUGACCUCUGCACUUUGGGAUUGUCAGGGGAGCAUUCGGUUACAUAUAGAAAUGGAUUUCCAUUUCUGUCACAUAAAAAUAAACACUUCUCUGGGAGCAGUGAUGCACCCAACAUCAUCCCAGCGGCUCAGGGGGCUGAGGCAGGAGGAUGGCAAGUUCAAAGCCAGCCUCAGCAACUUAGUGAGGCUUUAAGCAACUUAGACCCAAAGUAAAAAGCAAAAGGGGCUCCAGAUGUGGCUGGAUGCAUGAGGCACUGGGUUCGAUCCUCAGCACCACAUAAAAAUAAAAUAAAGAUAUUGUGUCCACCUAAAACUAAAAAAUAAAUUUAAAAAAAGAGAUUGUGUCCACCUAAAAAUAAAAUAUAAAAAUAAAUUUAAAAAAGAAUGAACUGCCCCUUGACAAGAGGGAUGCAGGGAAAUUUAGGGCUGCUGUCGAAGAGUGGGCU